GACGAACGCUGGCGGCGUGCUUAACACAUGCGAGUCGAACGGAAAGGCCCUGCUUUUGUGGGGUGCUCGAGUGGCGAACGGGUGAGUAACACGUGAGUAACCUGCCCUUGACUUUGGGAUAACUUCAGGAAACUGGGGCUAAUACCGGAUAGGAGCUCCUGCUGCAUGGUGGGGGUUGGAAAGUUUCGGCGGUUGGGGAUGGACUCGCGGCUUAUCAGCUUGUUGGUGGGGUAGUGGCUUACCAAGGCUUUGACGGGUAGCCGGCCUGAGAGGGUGACCGGCCACAUUGGGACUGAGAUACGGCCCAGACUCCUACGGGAGGCAGCAGUGGGGAAUAUUGCACAAUGGGCGGAAGCCUGAUGCAGCAACGCCGCGUGCGGGAUGACGGCCUUCGGGUUGUAAACCGCUUUCGCCUGUGACGAAGCGUGAGUGACGGUAAUGGGUAAAGAAGCACCAGCUAACUACGUG
rnacentral:rRNA from 1 species